rnacentral:piRNA from 2 species
UCCCAUCUUCUGUGGAACUUGUCCCCUUU